ensembl:miRNA F09A5.15 miscRNA
AGGAAUAAGGGGCUCAGCAGAAACUUAUACGGGUAUAGCAUAUCCAAAAAGUAUAACCGAUAGGUUUCUGCCGAGUCCCAUUAAGUUCCA